rnacentral:rRNA from 1 species
AGGGUUUGAUCCUGGCUCAGAUUGAACGCUGGCGGCAUGCCUUACACAUGCAAGUCGAACGGCAGCACGGGCUUCGGCCUGGUGGCGAGUGGCGAACGGGUGAGUAAUACAUCGGAACGUGCCCUGUAGUGGGGGAUAACUAGUCGAAAGAUUAGCUAAUACCGCAUACGUCCUGAGGGUGAAAGCGGGGGACCGCAAGGCCUCGCGCUACAGGAGCGGCCGAUGUCUGAUUAGCUAGUUGGUGGGGUAAAAGCCUACCAAGGCGACGAUCAGUAGCUGGUCUGAGAGGACGAUCAGCCACACUGGGACUGAGACACGGCCCAGACUCCUACGGGAGGCAGCAGUGGGGAAUUUUGGACAAUGGGGGCAACCCUGAUCCAGCAAUGCCGCGUGUGUGAAGAAGGCCUUCGGGUUGUAAAGCACUUUUGUCCGGAAAGAAAUGGCCUGGGCUAAUACCCCGGGUCGAUGACGGUACCGGAAGAAUAAGCACCGGCUAACUACGUGCCAGCAGCCGCGGUAAUACGUAGGGUGCGAGCGUUAAUCGGAAUUACUGGGCGUAAAGCGUGCGCAGGCGGUUUUGUAAGACAGGCGUGAAAUCCCCGAGCUUAACUUGGGAAUGGCGCUUGUGACUGCAAGGCUAGAGUAUGUCAGAGGGGGGUAGAAUUCCACGUGUAGCAGUGAAAUGCGUAGAGAUGUGGAGGAAUACCGAUGGCGAAGGCAGCCCCCUGGGACGUCACUGACGCUCAUGCACGAAAGCGUGGGGAGCAAACAGGAUUAGAUACCCUGGUAGUCCACGCCCUAAACGAUGUCAACUAGUUGUUGGGGAUUCAUUUCUUCAGUAACGUAGCUAACGCGUGAAGUUGACCGCCUGGGGAGUACGGUCGCAAGA